rnacentral:rRNA from 1 species
UGGGGAAUUUUGGACAAUGGGCGCAAGCCUGAUCCAGCCAUGCCGCGUGCGGGAAGAAGGCCUUCGGGUUGUAAACCGCUUUGUCAGGGAAGAAAUCCUCUGAGUUAAUACCUCGGGAGGAUGACGGUACCUGAAGAAUAAGCACCGGCUAACUACGUGCCAGCAGCCGCGGUAAUACGUAGGGUGCAAGCGUUAAUCGGAAUUACUGGGCGUAAAGCGUGCGCAGGCGGUUUUGUAAGACAGAGGUGAAAUCCCCGGGCUCAACCUGGGAACUGCCUUUGUGACUGCAAGGCUUGAGUGCGGCAGAGGGGGAUGGAAUUCCGCGUGUAGCAGUGAAAUGCGUAGAUAUGCGGAGGAACACCGAUGGCGAAGGCAAUCCCCUGGGCCUGCACUGACGCUCAUGCACGAAAGCGUGGGGAGCAAACAGGAUUAGAUAGCCCUGGUAGUCCACGCCCUAAACGAUGUCAACUGGUUGUUGGGAAGGUUCCUUCUCAGUAACGUAGCUAACGC